rnacentral:rRNA from 1 species
CUACGGGGGGCAGCAGUGGGGAAUUUUGGACAAUGGGCGAAAGCCUGAUCCAGCCAUGCCGCGUGAGUGAAGAAGGCCUUCGGGUUGUAAAGCUCUUUCAGACGGAAAGAAAACGCAUCACUUAAUACGGGGUGCGGAUGACGGUACCGUCAGAAGAAGCACCGGCUAACUACGUGCCAGCAGCCGCGGUAAUACGUAGGGUGCGGGCGUUAAUCGGAAUUACUGGGCGUGAAGCGUGCGCAGGCGGUGGUGUAAGACAGGUGUGAAAUCCCCGGGCGUAACCUGGGAACUGCGCUUGUGACUGCACAGCUAGAGUACGGCAGAGGGGGGUGGAAUUCCACGUGUAGCAGUGAAAUGCGUAGAGAUGUGGAGGAACACCGAUGGCGAAGGCAGCCCCCUGGGCCUGUACUGACGCUCAUGCACGAAAGCGUGGGGAGCAAACAGGAUUAGAUACCCGGGUAGUC